rnacentral:lncRNA from 1 species
GUUAAGUAACCUUUCUCUUGAGUUUCCAUAAUAUUUUUGUUAAUUUUGUUUGACACAAUUUAAACAUCCUUGUUUUGAUUUUUUGUUUUUGUUUAAAUUUUCUAAAAAUUAUCUAAACUCAUUGAUUUUAUUUUAUAUGUGUGUGCCUGAGUGUUUGUCUGUGUACCACAUGUGUGCAAGCGCCUGCAGAAGGGAGAAGAGGGCAUCCGAUUGGAACUGAAGCCACUGAUGGUUGUCAGUCACCAUGUGAAUGCUGGGAAUUGAACCCAGGUUUUCCACAAAGCAACAAGAACUCACAAUCACUCAGCCAUAUUUCUAGCCCCAGUCAUUUUUUUUAAAGGUACACAUAUCACAGUUAAUAUAGAAUGCACAGAAACACUCAGGAACACACUCUAAGCACCUUCAGUCAAAGUGAAUUCCAUGGCCAGGUGCAGUCUGUAGCAAGGGCAGAAAUGAAGACAUGUCUAGGAAAGAAAAAAUUGUAGCCAACACUAUGCUUUUAGUUUUGACAGAACAUGAAAAGAACCAACGAGCCAAAGACUACUAAAACACAGUCAACUGAUGCAUAUAGUUGGAGAAACGAUGGUUCCGCUAACUCAUUAUUAUCCUAAAUGACCACUUAUAUAGUGAUAGUAUUGCUAAUUAGAGAUAAAAAGAAUUAAUCACCAGGAAAUCAGGUUUCCCACCAAGCAUCUCACUAUCCACCUUUAAAAACAAAUUGUGGUGAAAAUUAGCUGACUUAUAUCAUAAAAUAAUUACUUGAAAUAGGAAACUUGAAGUCAAUAAAUAGUUGGGGACUAGUUCUUCAUGCAUAAGAACAAAGGUAUGUUACAUGUGCUACAGAUACACAUGGGAUUACCUUCCUUGUUUCCCAUGGUCUGAUUGUGAGAAAUGUAUGAUCUUUUACUUAUUUACCUACUGGUGCCUAUUUUUGUCACUGACUUGAUAAAAACAUUUACAAAAGCUCAAUUCCUCAUUGUCUGGACAGUAGCUAUAGUUCACAGAAAUCUAAAAGCAUCACCCAGUGUCAGUGGUUACUGGUUAUAAUACCAACUAGUUUUAUGGUCACCCAUCUUUCCUACAUUUGAUGAGCAUAUGAUUCUGUAAUCUUUAUCCAAAUUUUCUUACACGUGCAAUUCUGCUUAACCAGUUGCUUUAUACCAGCAAUUACUCCUAACACAUUGGUGGAAGAGCAUACUGUGAGAACUGAGCAAACUUUUGCCAGACAGAGAAAGUAUUGAUUUGUGAACUUGAUUGUGAAGAAAUAGGGAUGGGCCAUUGGGUCUAGACCGCAUGGCCUAUAAAAGAAUAGACUCAGAGUUGUUCCAUUCCAUCUUAUUUUAAUAAGAGACCCAGCUAUGUUUACCUUUCAAUUUAGUUGGUGAAGAUCUAGCUCCUUAACCAUCUACGAAGUUUUUGUGUGAUAAAGAUAAACAUCAGACUACCAUCACUCUGCUGCCCCAUCUGCAGCACUUACAUAAUGGAGGAUAUUACUCAAACUUGCCUUGUUGAUGAAAUGUGACCACUGAUCACUGAUCUUUCGCUGGCCAAUCUAUCUUGUUCAUCUUCAUCUGUGCUGCAGGAUUUUUUCCAUCCGUGAACUUGUUUCUUUUUAGUCAGGUUGGAUGUACCUCUUCCAUAGACUGCAUGAAACCCAAAGGAGAAUCACAUAUGCGUUCACUCACCCAGUGGAGAGAAUGAACUGUGUUUGUUACUUACGUGACUUGCUUUCUUCUCCACUGUUCUCCCAGAUGUCUAAAUACUGCUCCAUUAUCAAGAACCGGAUGGGAGCCCACUCAAGGAUCACUGCGAAGCUUUCAGAGGAUCAUAGAUUUUCCUCUUGACAUUUGAUAGCCUAGGGGUGUGUGUGUGUGUGUGUGUGUGUGUGUGUGUGUUUGUGUGUGUGUGUGUGUCUGUCUGUCUGUGUGUGUGUAGGUGUAUGCUACCCUUGCAUAAAAAAGAAGAUUCAGAGAAGCCCAAAGCUUCUUGUGACCUUGCAAGUGCCUGAGUGAAGCAAGAAUAUUCUAGGGAAGUCUAGAGCAGAGACUGUGCUGAACAAACACAGUAGAUUUUAGGAAAACCAAACCAAACCAAAUGAAAGGAAAGGAAACAGAAAAAAAAACAAGAAGAAUGGGGAUUCUUAAGUAAUUUUUGUAACUCAUGACUUCAUGUGCUAUUUGACUGACUUGAGAAAAGAAGGUAAAUUCAUUCAACAUCUGCUGUCACAACAGCUGUGUGUGAAAACCUAGCAUCAGAAGAGAGUUGGGAGAGUUUGAGACUUCGCUUUGUUCUUCUAUCAGCCAAGCUUCGACACAUGAAGUUUAUUUUAUAUGAAAUAUAUUUUGUAUUAAAUCUGCCAAAUACAUACAUUAGACU